rnacentral:lncRNA from 1 species
AUAUGUAUUCAUUUCCUACCACUGUAGUGGAAGAGAGACUAUCCCUGUCUUUACACCCGGUAGCAUUUCCAACAGUAAGCUGUGAGAUUCUGCUUGAAAUCACCUCUCAAACAAAUAAAAAACAGACCUGGGAAAUGUGCUACACUCAUUCUGCUGAAGAAAUUGGUAAGUAAUAAUUUUUAGCAAAUGAAAUAUAUUACUACUUAAUUGUAUUCAAAAUCCACCAACUUAAUGUUUUUAUAAAUAUUUUCAUACCUUUGAAGCUCCACUGACAAAACAUAAUUUACAGUUAAUGAAAAAGUGAAGUUAAAAUAAAUACAAUAAUAUUUUCAAAGUGACAAAAUUAGAAGGUGACAAUGCCAAUUGAAACACAGACAUAUCUGACCCAAGGGUCAAGUCAAGCCAUUCUA